CCUACGGGAGGCAGCAGUGGGGAAUAUUGGACAAUGGGGGCAACCCUGAUCCAGCCAUGCCGCGUGUGUGAAGAAGGCCCUCGGGUUGUAAAGCACUUUCAGUGAGGAAGAACGCCUGGUGGUUAAUACCCAUCAGGAAAGACAUCACUCACAGAAGAAGCACCGGCUAACUCCGUGCCAGCAGCCGCGGUAAUACGGAGGGUGCGAGCGUUAAUCGGAAUUACUGGGUGUAAAGCGCGCGUAGGUGGCUUGAUAAGCCGGUUGUGAAAGCCCCGGGCUCAACCUGGGAACGGCAUCCGGAACUGUCAAGCUAGAGUGCAGGAGAGGAAGGUAGAAUUCCCGGUGUAGCGGUGAAAUGCGUAGAGAUCGGGAGGAAUACCAGUGGCGAAGGCGGCCUUCUGGACUGACACUGACACUGAGGUGCGAAAGCGUGGGUAGCAAACAGGAUUAGAUACCCCGGUAGUC
rnacentral:rRNA from 1 species